rnacentral:rRNA from 1 species
CAAUAGCGUAUAUUAAAGUUGUUGCAGUUAAAAAGCUCGUAGUUGGAUUUCUGGUAGGAGUGACCGUUCCGAACUUGAUUGUUCGUGGAUUGUGUUUUCUCCAGCCAUCCUUGUGGAGAACUUUUCUUGCAUUAAUUUGUAGGGAUUGGGACCCGCAUCGUUUACUGUGAAAAAAUUAGAGUGUUUAAAGCAGGCAAUCGCUUGAAUACAUUAGCAUGGAAUAAUAAGAUAGGACUUUGGUACUAUUUUGUUGGUUUGCAUACCAAAUUAAUGAUCAACAGGAACAGUUUGAGGAUAUUCGUAUGAACAUGUCAGAGGUGAAAUUCUUGGAUUUUGAUCAGACGAACUACUGCGAAAGCAUUUAUCAAGGAUGUUUUCAUUAA